rnacentral:rRNA from 1 species
AAACUCAAAGGAAUUGACGGGGGCCCGCACAAGCGGCGGAGCAUGCGGCUUAAUUCGAUGCAACGCGAAGAACCUUACCUAGGCUUGACAGUUGGGGAAAUCUGGCAGAGAUGCCAGGUCCGUAAGGGCCCCAAAACAGGUGGUGCAUGGCUGUCGUCAGCUCGUGUCGUGAGAUGUUGGGUUAAGUCCCGCAACGAGCGCAACCCUCGUCGUAUGUUGCCAGCGGAUAAUGCCGGGGACUCAUACGAGACUGCCGGGGUCAACUCGGAGGAAGGUGGGGACGACGUCAAGUCAUCAUGCCCCUUAUGUCUAGGGCUGCACGCAUGCUACAAUGGCCGGUACAGAGGGCUGCGAAACCGCGAGGUGGAGUGAAUCCCAAAAAGCCGGUCUCAGUUCGGAUUGGGGUCUGCAACUCGACCCCAUGAAGUCGGAGUCGCUAGUAAUCGCAGAUCAGCAACGCUGCGGUGAAUACGUUCCCGGGCCUUGUACACACCGCCCGUCACGUCACGAAAGUCGGCAACACCCGAAGCCGGUGGCCUAACCCUUGUGGGAGGAGCCGUCGAAGGUGGGGCUGGUGAUUGGGACGAAGUCGUAACAAGGUAGCCGUAA